rnacentral:lncRNA from 1 species
CAAAGACAAAAUUCCCUUUAUUGAAAAUGACAGGAAAGGGUUAAAAUUGGGCACUGUUGCACAUUAAUAAGCCUUGUGUUCAUCACAAUAAUGACUUCCCCAUCUGCCAUUGCAAGACCACAGACCCCUACAUGGUUUACACAUUUGCUCCUCAUUCUUCUUGCCAUCUCCCCACCCCUAACAUGUGUCAUAGGUGUUCACAAACAAAUCCCAUCAACUACCAACUCAGGUCGGAUUCAGACAAUCCGGUGGAGCACUCUGAAAUUUAGAGGAAGUGGUCAAAUAGAAUUUUCUGGAAUUAUGGAAAUCUUCUAUUCUGUGCAUCUAGUAUAGUAGAAUCUAGUCACAUGUGGCUUUUGAGAACUGGAAAUAUGGCUAAUGCAACAGAGAAAGUGAAUUUUUACUUUUGAUUCAUUUAAAUAUAAAUGGUCACAUAUGACAUCACUGCCAUAUUGGACAUUGCAGUUCUGGAAGAUGGCAGAUGCAGCCCUCAGAAGAAUUAUCAGCCUGAAUGUCUGGGCGGAGCAGAGCACUACCUUCCCACUCACUCUUCCCCUCCUCUCGCCCCCUCCCCUGCCUCACUUGCAUCAGAUUAUGAUGUGAGCAAAAGCAGGAAACAGCUCUUUUGAUAGGCCUGUGAGACUUGCUGUUCGUUGGAGUAGCUAGGCUGCUCUGACUCAUACAGACCCAAAUCCUGGCAACCACUUUUAUGAAGAAAUGACAAUUCAGUCUACUACUUGUCCAUUUUACAUGCCCAAGGAAUGUGAGGGGCCUCUGCUUGGAUCUAGUUUUCAACCUAGUCUAUGGCAUUGAUUAUCCUUUUAAAAGACAAAAGAGGUGACUUCACGGGCACUUAACAUCUUGGCCAUACUGACCCCAGUUGCACGCUACGUAGGAAGUUUUAGUCCAUUUAAACUGAAGUUCCAAUUUUUUUUUUAACAACUAUUUAAAAAUUGUACAUGUCCCAUACAUGACAGAGAAAGGGUUGUCUGGUUGGAUGAUUUUUGGCUUGCAAAAAGAGAACACAAAAGAAAAGCAUACGUUUUAAUACUCAAGAGACCAAAUUUUCUGCUGAAGAGGAAAUGAACUACAUAUCCAGAAGGGUCCUACCAAGAGGCCAAACAGACUGUGUUCUCUUGGGGGAGUUCUCAGUGGUGAUGAGAACACCACUUUUUUUUUUUUUUUAGUCAUUUUCAAGGUGAGAUAUUGACUUGCUGCUGGAGCAGGACAACUGGUCUCUCUUUCAUUGCUAGCAGCAGAGUAAGGGUCUUGCAAGUUUCAGGCAGCAGCAGAGAAAGGGUCUUGCAAGUUUCAGUCCAAAGCAAGAAGAGCUAGGAUUGCACCAGCUGUCUCACCUACUCUGUGCUCACCUGUUUCUGGAUGAAGCACGGUGACAUCUGUUUUAUUGUAAAGAGAACCAACUUUGGAAUCAAAUGGAACCUGUAUUAAAAUCCUGAAUCCGUCACUAGCUUGGACAAGUC